rnacentral:lncRNA from 1 species
GGGAAAGAUUAUUUCGUUACGUGUACGCUUCAAAUUCAAAUAACAUUUAAUUAAAAUGAAGUUUUUGAGGUAGGUGCUAUUUUAUUUAAGAUUCCGUUGUAUUUAUCUGACAUUUAUGGUUUUUAGAAAGUCAAGAUGGCGGCGUACUCCUUAGUUACGACUUGCCAUUGUGCUUUUGAUGGUAAUAUAUAUAGUAGCCAUCAUAAAAAAAAUGUUUAUUAAAUAUCACAAAUGUUUGGCUGAAGAAUUAUAAGGAUUAAACACAUUUUUUUCUAGAGGUUAUUGAUGUG